GACAUAGGUGGCGAACGUUAUCCGGAAUUAUUGGGCGUAAAGGGUGCGUAGAUGGUCUGGUAAGUUAUCAGUGGGAAAUCGAGGCCCAACCUCGUGGAAGCUGGCAAUACUGCCACACUAGAGUACAGAAGAGGUUAACGGAAUUCCAUGUGGAGCGGUAAAAUGCGACGAUAUAUGGAGGAACAUCAAUAACGGCGAAGGCAGUUAACUAUUCUGUUACUGACAUUGAGGCACGAAAGCGUGGGGAGCAAAACGG
rnacentral:rRNA from 1 species